rnacentral:lncRNA from 1 species
AGAAAUGGUUGCCCGAGGCCCAUACCAGUCGCUCAGCCAGAUGACUACAAAGAGGGCAAACGAGGUGUUGCUGGGCGUGCCACGCCCUCGUCAUCAGUUAUGGACCACAAGCCAAGAGAGUGGCUACCAGCUGGACACCAGGAGUCUCGCUUGAUCCCCACAGCAGCCCUCAGUUGGCCAAGAGAGGUGAUCCAGGACCCAAGCAGUGGACACACCACCAGGCCUCCUGAGGACACAUACCCUGAAGACAGAGCAACCUGAAGAGGGAACACUCAGUCUCUAGCACUGAAAUAAAGCUAGAGUGUGUUGA